rnacentral:snRNA from 1 species
GGCUAUGAUGGCAACCAGGCUGCGACGUGUAUCACUCCAUUGAUUAUGGGGGUUAAUUUGGCUGAUUGGACUAGCUAGGUGGGCAUCUCCUUCCUCCCUCACCAUGCCACGUGCAGCGCUCCUGAGGCUGUGUGCUCCAUGGAAGAGGACGACCACACCCAAGGAGGACUGGUCUUCUGUCAAGGAUAAGAGUAGCUGUUUUCUCCUGCCAGAAUUUCCAAACAAGCGCUCAAACUUCACGGUCAAGCUCCCAAGACUCCAGACAAAUCCGAAUGAGGUGUGGCAUGUGGCAGUCUACCUUUA